rnacentral:rRNA from 1 species
UGGGGAAUCUUGCACAAUGGACGAAAGUCUGAUGCAGCGACGCCGCGUGGAGGAUGAAGGUCUUCGGAUUGUAAACUCCUGUUAAGUGGGAAGAAAGACCCAUACCUAAUACGUAUGGGGGAUGACAGUACCAUUAGAGAAAGCACCGGCAAACUUCGUGCCAGCAGCCGCGGUAAUACGAAGGGUGCAAGCGUUAUUCGGAGUUACUGGGCGUAAAGAGCGCGUAGGCGGUUAGUUAAGUUAGUUGUUAAAGACCCCGGCUUAACUGGGGAAAGGCAUCUAAUACUGGCAGACUAGAGUACAAGAGAGAGAAGUGGAAUUCUCGGAGUAGCGGUAAAAUGCGUAGAUCUCGAGAGGAACACCGAUGGCGAAGGCAGCUUCUUGGCUUGUAACUGACGCUAAAGUGCGAAAGCGUGGGGAGCAAACAGG